rnacentral:rRNA from 1 species
UGGUGACAGCGGAGGGAUCAUUA